GACGGAGGAUGCAAGCGUUAUCCGGAAUGAUUGGGCGUAAAGCGUCCGCAGGUGGCAGUUCAAGUCUGCUGUCAAAGACCGGGGCUUAACUUCGGAAAGGCAGUGGAAACUGAACAGCUAGAGUAUGGUAGGGGCAGAGGGAACUCCUGGUGUAGCGGUGAAAUGCGUAGAGAUCAGGAAGAACAUCGGUGGCGAAGGCGCUCUGCUGGACCAUAACUGACACUCAGGGACGAAAGCUAGGGGAGCGAAUGGG
rnacentral:rRNA from 1 species